rnacentral:pre_miRNA from 1 species
AUCUUUGGGCCUGAUCCAAAGCCCACUGAUGUCUCUGGGAGUCUUUCCAUUGACUUCACUGGGCUCUGGAUCAGGCCCCAAAU